rnacentral:snRNA from 1 species
AUGAGUCUAUCACAAUGUUGU